UGCCGGAUGUGUAAUGGUAGCACAGCAGACUCUGGAUCUGCGUGUCUAGGUUCGAAUCCUAGUCCGGCAGCCA
rnacentral:tRNA from 1 species